UGGUGAAAGUGAAGGACUGAAAGCCCUGC
rnacentral:piRNA from 1 species